UCUACACCAUCCAGCUUUGGUCACAUGGGAGGUGCUCCACUAUUACGAUAAAAGCCUUGUCUAAUCCUCGACUACCUCAAAACAAGAUCCGCUGAGUGGGCGACAACCUGAUCCGCCUCCUCGCAUAACAACCAUUCCUCGAUAGCCGGCCCCACCAAUGCCGCCGCUCCACCCACGUUUCACAUGAUAAGCCAAGCCCAAACCCAAACCCAAGCCGACGGCAAACCAAAGCCAACCGACCCUAUCUCCCUAUCUGCCUAUCUACUUUCGAGAAGCACAAGCAACAACCCAACGACGCAUUGAAUCAAUGGCGAGACAUAUCCAUUCGGCCGCUGUUUCCGCGGUCACAUCUGAUGACGUGUCAAACUAUGCCCCGUCCUCGAUCUCCAAACUCCCCUUCCUGCCCUUCUCUCCACGUCUCUACGUGUCAUUUCUUUUGUCUUUAUUAUUUUUUUAAUGCUAUUUAAGCGCCAAAGGCCCAUCCAUGGAUACGCUGGCCAAGGUGGGGCCACGUGUAAAGCGGAAAGUAUUGAAGCAAGUCACAUGAUGCAGGAGAUGGUUUCGGUAUGUCUACCUAUGUCCUGCUUUGCACGUUUCACGAGGAAGGGCAACUGCAUGAUGGGGAAAAUAGGGGAGUGACAGCGAGGGGUAGAGGCGCGACGAGCAGUAUCCCGAGGAAAAGCCAAAAAAAAUAAAAGGAAAUGGAUUUAUUUGAAUGCACGUUGGAUGCUUUGCAGCGGCGCUGGUGGGAACGUGUCUGGCGUUGAGAUGGCUCCAUCACACGCCCCCUUCAGCUUUGAUCCGCGCAACCUGCACGCCUUGCUGUACGGUCCACUUUCCCUUUUGUGUGUCAAGUUCGUGUUUGAGGAGCGUGGGUCCUGUUUAAAUAUCAAGGGUUCAGACACCUCCGUAUUAUUUUAUUACUUUUAGAUGUUUCAUUUGACCGGGGGGCAGUACUUGGGUCGGUAUACAGUCUGGAAGCAUUUCUCAUGUGUUGCCAUGUGUUGCUUGGGAAGGAGCCUGGAAUAUAUAUAUAUAUAUUUUUUUAAUGAACAAAAAAUUGGAUAAAUUUUCUGAAAA